GAUUUGUAUGAAAGGAGAGAAGGUUGAUACUCCCCUUGACAUGGAUGGAAGAGGUCCUAGUGGCCUUCAACUCACAUAUGGUUAAGACACUGCCACUACUUCAUGACAUCCCUAAUCACUUUUUUUU
ensembl:snRNA U6atac minor spliceosomal RNA